CAUCCGAGAGUUGGUGACUACAGAAGAGAUGGCAUGUGCAUCGAAGAUGAGAGCUCUAGUUCUGGCCUACGUCUUGAUUGCAGUGCUCUUCCAUCCUCUUUUGAGUCAGGGAGUCAUGGCCUCACCUGCUGACAGUACCACAGCCAAGAGAAUUGACGGUAAAGCCAUCGAUCAAGGGAUAGCUUAUGUGCUGAUACUUGUGGCCCUUCUUGUUACCUAUCUUGUACAUUGACCACCGUCCUGCCUCACAUGGAUCUCUGUUUCUGAUACAUACUAUUUGCCUCAACAAUGUAGAGUACAAGAAAACAUUGUAAUUCUUCUCUCACUAAUAAUCAAGUACUGCAUGCGCAGAAGAUAUA